ACGGAGGACACCUGCAGUUGUCACCCUGAGCGUGUCAUGGCUUGCAGGCUCCUCUGCUAUGUGGCAUUUUACUUCCUGGGAACAGAUGCUGGUGUCUCCCAGAUUCCAAGACACUGCAUUACAGAGACAGGAAAGAAGAUUGUUCUGGAAUGUUCGCAAACUAUGGGCCACAACAACAUGUACUGGUACAGACAGGAUCUGGGCAGGGCACUGCGGCUGAUCCAUUACUCCUACGGCAUUAACACCACAGAGAAAGGAGAGCUGCCAUCUGAGUCGACAGUCUCCAGAGAAAGAUUGGAGCAUUUCCCGCUGACCCUGGAGUCACCCAGCCCCACACACACAUCUCAGUACUUCUGCGCCAGCUCUGAAUACACAGUGCCACACGGUCACCUACAUCCUGCACAAAAAGGGUAG